rnacentral:misc_RNA from 1 species
UCUUUACAAUGAUAUGUCAAGGUACAUCUGCUGUGCUGGAUACAUACCGUGUAGUGGCAAGUGCGGAGAAAGUCAUUGCCCUGAACUAUGUCUCUGCACUGAGGUCUUCUGUUGCUUUUCAAAUUCAGUUGCUUCAACUCGCUUCCUACUGCAAGACGAAUUCAACAUACAGACUACACAGUGUGACAAUUGCAUCAUUGGAUUCAUGAUGUGCCUGCAGCAAUUGGCAUGCAUAUGUUCCUUGGUUGCUUGUAUAACCGGAAGUGAUGAAAUUGGAGACCUUGCUGACAUGUUGACUUGUUUGGCUGACUUGGUUUUUUGCUCGUAAGGCUUUAGUGCAACCCUUUCUUUGUGGAAUGAGAGAUUUUAAAAUCUUUUAUUAAUUCUAUGCUUUGUUCUGUUUCGGCAGGGUUUGCCCAUGCAUUCAGGUAUGCAGAAAAUAUAACUCAAUGUGCUUGAAAGUUAUAGCAUCUUACUCUUGCAACAAAAUAUGUUAGGCCCUGUUAAUGUUAUAUGAUCCAUUUCUCUUGGCUAAAAUCUAUCAUAAGAAGUAAAAUCUGGUGAUAAACAAGCAAUCUGGCUUCUGCUUUGCAAUGAAUGCGUUAACUAGACUCCUAGCUUGUAGAUUAUUUCUACUUCACUCAUGAUGUAAAGGAAUGGUUAUAUAAUCAGUUGAUUUUAAAGUUCCUUACAUUGUGGUAUAAAUGCAGACCCAGCACAAGAUCGAAAUGGAUAAAAGAGACGGCAAGUUUGGGCCACAGCCUGUAAUGGCAGUGCCUCCGAUGCAGCAAAUGUCACGCAUUGAUCAG